AUAAAUUUCCAUUUAUGAUGAAGAACAGAAUACAAAUUCAACACCCAACAAAAAAGAUCAAUACAACCAGCACCCAUUAGGGCAAUGUACCACACAUAUCUGUCAUCAAAAUGAUUUUUGCAUCAAACACGAAGAAGUGGCGAGUCCCAAAUUGCGUCAACAGCGACGACAGCAGGGAUCACGAGCUGGCUUCUAGGGACAGUGAAUCUUGAAGAGUCGUCAGCAUCAGAGCCAAAGCCGGACAACCACCGACGAGUUAACCACCGGCUGAAACCCUACGCCGCCACUGAAACCCUAACGCCACGACUGAAACCCUAACUGCCUCUCCGCCUCUCCGACCAGAUCUGGAGGUUUAAUGGAAGGAUCGGAGUUUGUCGACCAGAUCUAAAUGUCGAACCUACUUUCCGGCGACGCAUGACUCUCCGGUGACUUUGGUGGUGGUCUCGAUUGUUUAUAAUGGUUGGAUUCGUGGUUGCAGGUGGUGCAGUGGUGGUUGACGGUGCAGAAGGUGGUGAUAGUGGUGGAGGUGCGGUUUGCAGGCGGUGACAGUGGUGUUUGGCGGUGGAGAAGGUGGUGAUAGUGGUGGAGGUGCGGUGGGGAUGGUGGUGGUGCGGUGGUGUUAAUGGUGGUGUUAGGGUCUAGAUGAGAGAGAGGAGAUAUACAGAAAUGUGAAAUGAAUGAUGUGUCUGUGUAUAAUAAUAUAUAUAAUUUCUCUUUAUUAAUUUUAUUAAAAUCGUGAU